rnacentral:rRNA from 1 species
CGGACGGGUGAGUAACGCGUGAGAAUCUGCCCUCAGGAGGGGGAUAGCGGUUGGAAACGACCGCUAAGACCCCAUAUGCCGAGAGGUGAAACAAAUUUUGCCUGAGGAUGAGCUCGCGUCCGAUUAGCUAGUUGGUGCGGUAAGAGCGUACCAAGGCGACGAUCGGUAGCUGGUCUGAGAGGAUGAUCAGCCACACUGGGACUGAGACACGGCCCAGACUCCUACGGGAGGCAGCAGUGGGGAAUUUUCCGCAAUGGGCGAAAGCCUGACGGAGCAAGACCGCGUGAGGGAAGAAGGUCUGUGGAUUGUAAACCUCUUUUGACAGGGAAGAAGUUCUGACGGUACCUAUCGAAUCAGCCUCGGCUAACUCCGUGCCAGCAGCCGCGGUAAUACGGAGGAGGCAAGCGUUAUCCGGAAUUAUUGGGCGUAAAGCGUCCGUAGGUGGAUGUUCAAGUCUUCUGUCAAAGCGCGGAGCUUAACUCCGUAAAGGCAGAGGAAACUGAGCGUCUAGAGUGCGAUAGGGGCAAGGGGAAUUCCCAGUGUAGCGGUGAAAUGCGUAGAUAUUGGGAAGAACACCGGUGGCGAAAGCGCCUUGCUGGGUCUGCACUGACACUGAGGGACGAAAGCUAGGGGAGCGAAAGGGAUUAGAUACCCC